CUUGAAGACAUCAGCAACCUGACAGAUGUAAAUCUUCUAGUAGCUGUGCAUGAAAACUGCCAUCGUUAAUCUUGCAGAGACGGCGAGCUUGAGUGGGGAGUUAUUUGGCUUGAGGGAGCAGGAAUUCUGUUACCAAUUGAUGAAUGAGAGACUGCAACGACUGAAGCUAAAAAUCAUAAUUUAUGUCCUACUGAAGAAACAAAGUCACCAACAUCUUGGAUCCCUUGGGGUUUUCAAAAAUCCAUUUGAAUUCUAUACGGCAUCCAAACAACAACAGACGUGACCUAUAAGGUUGUGAAAUGGACACUGCACUCGGGCUGUCAAAAAGUGCAGAGGAAAACAUACCAUGAUGAAAAGGAACUUGCACAGAGAUUGAAAUGGCAUAAAAGGCAGUCGUGACAGAUUGUCCACUAAGCACCAUGACAGAUGCCUCUUCAUCCCCUGCUAGCAUGCAGACUCACAAUAAACUAUUGACUGUCAAUCAAAUGGAAUUUCUAAAUAGUACAGGCAUAAGGGGAAAUAUAUGUGGACUACUGCAAUCGCUUCAAGUACAGCUGAGCUGCCAAACUGAUGGAAUCCAUAGGCAUUGAGCAUGGAAAUCUGGAAAUGGAGAUUUGAUUCUUAUGUGCAAAGAGGAAAUUGUGGGAUUUUCUGUCUUUAAAGUCACAAUACUAAAAACACAUUGUUUGAACAUGCUCAGGUAACGUGAAUGCCUUUAUGCUUCUGUCAAUAUUUAGGCAGAUACUUGUGACAGUUUUACCCAGAGUUUUGUUUACUUCCUCUCACAAGCACCACCAUGUC